UACGGAGGGUGCAAGCGUUAAUCGGAAUUACUGGGCGUAAAGCGUGCGCAGGCGGUUUGUUAAGUCCGUUGUGAAAGCCCCGAGCUCAACUUGGGAAUUGCAGUGGAUACUGGCAGGCUGGAGUACGGUAGAGGAAGGUGGAAUUCCCGGUGUAGCAGUGAAAUGCGUAGAGAUCGGGAGGAACACCAGUGGCGAAGGCGGCCCCCUGGGUCAAGAUUGACGCUCAUGCACGAAAGCGUGGGGAGCAAACAGG
rnacentral:rRNA from 1 species